AAAGUGUCUCAGAACCGAUUCCGCCUCGACUCUCACUCAGUCUGAAUCUGUCACCUCAGUGCUCCGUUGGCUGCCACUGAGGGAUGAUGAAUAUAGCUACGCUCUUGUCCUUCUUACACCUUGACCUCCACACGUGUAGGUCUUCCAGGAACUCCCCACUGGGCAUCACUGGCUCCUCGUCCAUUAAGUGCAUAUGUGAUGUGGCCAACAAUUCACUCUCCUUCAUCUUGUUGUCAAGGUUCUCGGUUUCUGCUGGAUCAAUGCUGUGCUCCAGUGGUAAGAUGGUGCUCGCUUCAGGUCACCAUCAUCAUCAUAACCUGAUGGACUUCCUGCAAUGAAAAGCCAAGCACCAACCAAAAUGGAAGUAAUAGUGUAAAUCAAGUUUAACAUAUUUCCUGCUACCCUAGAAGCAACAGUAAUGUCAGCAUAGCUGUGC